AGCAGUAGGGAAUCUUCCACAAUGGACGCAAGUCUGAUGGAGCAACGCCGCGUGAGUGAUGAAGGCUUUCGGGUCGUAAAACUCUGUUGUUGGAGAAGAACGUGUGUGAGAGUAACUGCUCAUGCAGUGACGGUAUCCAACCAGAAAGCCACGGCUAACUACGUGCCAGCAGCCGCGGUAAUACGUAGGUGGCAAGCGUUAUCCGGAUUUAUUGGGCGUAAAGCGAGCGCAGGCGGUCUUUUAAGUCUAAUGUGAAAGCCUUCGGCUUAACCGAAGAAGUGCAUUGGAAACUGGGAGACUUGAGUGCAGAAGAGGAGAGUGGAACUCCAUGUGUAGCGGUGAAAUA
rnacentral:rRNA from 1 species